GUCGGAUACGGCGACAUGGCGCCCAAGACGUACAUGGGCAUGUUUGUCGGUGCUCUGUGCGCGUUGGCCGGCGUGCUGACCAUUGCACUCCCCGUUCCUGUCAUCGUGUCGAAC
rfam:Acyrthosiphon pisum strain LSR1 Contig41728, whole genome shotgun sequence.